AGCGGAGCAUGUGGUUUAAUUCGAAGCAACGCGAAGAACCUUACCUAAGCUUGACAUCCCAAUGACAUCUCCUUAAUCGGAGAGUUCCCUUCGGGGACGUUGGUGACAGGUGGUGCAUGGUUGUCGUCAGCUCGUGUCGUGAGAUGUUGGGUUAAGUCCCGCAACGAGCGCAACCCUUGUCUUUAGUUGCCAUCAUUAAGUUGG
rnacentral:rRNA from 1 species